rnacentral:rRNA from 1 species
AGAUUGAACGCUAGCGGGAUGCUUUACACAUGCAAGUCGAACGGCGGCGCGGACUUCGGUCUGGCGGCGAGGUGGCGAACGGGUGAGUAAUAUAUCGGAACGUGCCCAGUAGCGGGGGAUAACUACGCGAAAGCGUGGCUAAUACCGCAUACGCCCGUACGGGGGAAAGGGGGGGAUCGCAAGACCUCUCACUAUUGGAGCGGCCGAUAUCAGAUUAGCUAGUUGGUGAGGUAAAGGC